UACGUAGGGGGCGAGCGUUGUCCGAAGUUACUGGGCGUAAAGCGUGCGUAGACGGUUAUGUAAGUCGGGUGUGAAAGCCCCGGGCUCAACCUGGGAAUUGCAUUCGAGACUGCAUAGCUAGGGUGCGGAAGAGGGAAGCGGAAUUUCCGGUGUAGCGGUGAAAUGCGUAGAUAUCGGAAGGAACACCAGUGGCGAAAGCGGCUUCCUGGUCCAGCACCGACGUUCAGGCACGAAAGCGUGGGGAGCAAACAGG
rnacentral:rRNA from 1 species